CGUUUGCAUUGGCCUACAGGGCCUGUGUGUCUUGGAUCAGGCCAAUGCGAUGUUUGCUUCAGUUGGAUUAUGUUCUGCUGGCAAACCUGUGCAAGCUUUGGAGGACUGCAGAGUUCUUCAAGAGGCUCUUUGGUCCCAGACAUCUGGCAAGAAAUAUGCAGGAAACAGUGGUGGAAAACAAUUUCUGACGAAAAACUCACCAGGCGAGCAGGGACGUGGGUGUACGUGUUUGAUUGCAAUUCAGAAACUUUGUUGAUGUCCUAGGAGCAGAGGACACCAAACUAAGCAGCUUGCAGGAUAAACUUACACAGCACAGGCCAUAAUUCCUAGUGGAGUCACAAAUCAAGAUUGCUGCAUCAGUAAAAGGCAGAGCACAUGUUGGAAACAAGAAGAAGUAACAGGCACCAGAUUCUUUCUGGCAAAGCUGGAAGAAAUGUACGCCAAAUACUUGUGAAGGCUCGCAAUCAGAAGUAGAAGAAUCUGGGACAAGACUCUCCAAAAUGGGAUCCGCCUUAAUGGGAAAAGCAACCAAGGAGAAAUGAUCAAUAAACAAAGACUACAUUGGA